UACAACGAAACUGCGAAUGGCUCGGUAAAACAGCAAUAAUUUAUUCGGGGGUAAUUGCUACUUGGAUAACCGUAGUAAAGCUAGAGCUAAUACGUGCUACAAAGGCGAGACUCGCUCUCGUGGUACUAAGUAUUAGGUACAACCCAAUUUUAUUGGUGAUUCAUACUUAUCUUCUGAUCGCACUCUGUGCGACGCCCCGAAUAAAUUUCUGACCUAUCAACUUCGAUGGUAAGGUAGUGUCUUACCAUGGUUGUGACGGGUAACGGACCGUGGGUGCGGGAUUCCGGAGAGGGAGCCUGAGAAACGGCUACCACAUCCAAGGAAGGCAGCAGGCGCGCAACUUACCCAAUCCGAACUUCGGGAGGUAGUGACAAAAAAUAUCAAUAGGGGGACCGAUGGUCUUCCUAAUUGGAAUGAAAACAAUCUAAAUACCUUAUUAAGGAACCAGCAGAGGGCAAGUCUGGUGCCAGCAGCCGCGGUAAUUCCAGCUCUGUAAGCGUAUACCAAAGUUGUUGCAGUUAAAACGCUCGUAGUCGAACCUUGGCGUGAGUUACGGAGGCUCCUAAUGGACGUUGAAGUAACUCCGCCUUUGUGGAGGGGGGUGUGGUGUUACUUAAUUGUAUUGCCGCAUUUCCGCCACUGUUUACUGUGAAAAAAUUAGAGUGUUCAAAGCGAGCGUUUGCCAUGAAUACAUUAGCAUGGAAUAAUAGAAUAGGACCUGGUCCUGUUUUAUUGGUUUGUCUGUAUCAGGUAAUGAUUAACAGGGACGGUCGGGGGCAUUUGUAUUCCAGCGUUAGAGGUGAAAUUCUUGGAUCGCUGGAAGACAAACAGCUGCGAAAGCGUCUGCCAAGGACGUUUUCAUUGAUCAAGAACGAAAGUAAGGGGAUCGAAGACGAUCAGAUACCGUCGUAGUCUUUACUAUAAACUAUGAUGACUAAGGAUCAGCCGUGGCCUAAUGGUACGGUUGGCACUUUCCGGGAAACCAAAGUAUUUGAUUUCUGGGGGGAGUAUGGUCGCAAGUCUGAAACUUAAAGGAAUUGACGGAAGGGCAUCACCGGGUGUGGAGCCUGCGGCUUAAUUUGACUCAACACGGGAAAACUUACCAGGUCCAGACAUAGUAAGGAUUGACAGAUUGAGAGNNCUUUCUUGAUUCUAUGGUUGGUG
rnacentral:rRNA from 1 species